rnacentral:rRNA from 1 species
AUUGAACGCUGGCGGCAGGCCUAACACAUGCAAGUCGAACGCGGGGGGGAGGGUAGAGUCAUGUCUGGGAACCUGCCGGAUGGGAGGGGAUACCGAAUGGGGACGGUAGCUAAUACCGCAUACCAUCAGCUUAGCCCGGAUGGGAUUAGCUAGUUGGUGGGGUAACGGCUCACCAAGGCGACGAUCCGUAGCUGGUCUGAGAGGAUGACCAGCCACACUGGAACUGAGACACGGUCCAGACUCCUACGGGAGGCAGCAGUGGGGAAUAUUGCACAAUGGGCGAAAGCCUGAUGCAGCCAUGCCGCGUGUAUGAAGAAGGUCUUCGGGUUGUAAAGCACUUUCAGCGGGGAGGCGUUACCCGCAGAAGAAGCACCGGCUAACUCCGUGCCAGCAGCCGCGGUAAUAC